GGAGCGUGCAAAAUGCUUCCACGAACUCUUAAAGAGCCUGCGCAAGAAACUGGAAUGGCUGUUUCUUUCAAGAACCUUAAACCUAAAGGUUUCCAGGGUGACAAGGAGUAUUGGUUGUUGGUGGACAACUUAAAUUGGAGGGUGUGCAAAAUGAGAUCGACAAUAUAUUAACAAGUACAGGGAUCAAAUAGUACGCUCUUGCAUUCAAGUUCUCGCUCUCUUAUCAACGCCUUCAGGCAAAGGCUUUCCCUUGGCUUCUUUACUUUGGUCUCCGUUCUGCCUCACGUAGCAGAAAUACCUUUUUAUCCUGUUCAAUCCCAGAUGUUAAAGCUCAUAUUGGUUGGCAUCUCAAGUUCCCCUGGAGUAGUAUCUAACAAACUUGUUGAAGCAAUAAGUGGUUCCUUGAAGCUAAUGCUAAAGAGAUACAAUGCUGGAGAUAUGGGUCUAUACUCCGAGGAAUGCGCCUUAUGCUAGUGAGGAAAUCGAUGUGGUUCGUGAGCAAUGGGCUAAGGUUUUUACCAGCAAGUACUUAUUAUUGGCUUGAGCGUGCUUGAUCGAGUUGGUUUAGAUGUUAUAGA